UGUUGACUCCAUUCUAUAGUACUAAGAUCGACACCCUCCUGAACCAAAUCCCAUAACGGGCUCAUAUUCCUUAAGAAAGAAACUUGUCUACUCACAUUUUCAAUAGCAUAAUCAAUUUCGGCUUCAGUUGUAAAUCGGCCAAUACCAAAACGAAUAGAACUGUGAGCAUUUUCAUCACUCUGACCAAUUGCACGCAAAACGUAAGACGGUUCUAGAGAUGCGGAUGUGCAGGCAGAACCAGAAGACAGCGCGAUAUUUUUCAAACCCAUAAGCAACGAUUCCCCUUCUACAUAAUUGAAAGAAAUGUUGACACAACCUGGAUAUCUAGAUUUAGGGUCGCCA